rnacentral:piRNA from 1 species
UGAUAACUGUCCUCUGCUCUCCACC